rnacentral:rRNA from 1 species
UACGUAGGUGGCAUGCGUUGUUCGGAAUUACUGGGCGUAAAGCGCGCGUAGGCGGCUCUUCAAGUCAGGCGUGAAAGCCCCGGGCUUAACUCGGGAACUGCGCUUGAUACUGUCGAGCUAGAGUGUGGAAGGGGCGAUUGGAAUUCCGUGUGUAGCGGUUAAAUGCGUAGAUAUACGGAGGAACACCAGAGGCGAAGGCGGAUCGCUGGGCCAACACUGACGCUGAUGUGCGAAAGCUAGGGGAGCAAACGGG